rnacentral:rRNA from 2 species
GCGACCCCAGGUUGGGCGAGGCCACCCGCCGAGUUUAAGCAUAUCAAUAAGCGGAGGAGAAGAAACUUACGAAGAUUCCCCUAGUAACGGC